UUUUAACAAAAAAUGUCAUAAAAAGUUUUAUAGAUGACAUUUUUCUGAAAAACGUCAUGAAAAGCAAGUCUCACAACAUUAGCAUGGCGUUAUAGAAACGCCGUUAAAUCUAACCCCUUUCAAUGACGUUUUGCUUGAACGCCAUUACGUUUACGGCGUCUUGAAAACGCCAUGAAUAUGGUAUAUGCCGAUUAACUUAAUCUAUUUUUCGUUCUCUCUCAAUUUCACUCAACCUUUCUCAAUUUGUUCUCACACUCUCUCUCUCUCCCUUCACUCUUGAAAACCUAGACGCAAAAACCAAAAUCUUGUUCAUCAACAACUCGAUCUACUAUAAUCUCUCAGUCCACCACCUUCACCCACUCGCCGUCGUUGUUCCGAUCACCCUAUUUUCGGAAUCUACAAGUUUUCGCGACUUUCUCAGUUUUGGGGGACGAUUGCAAACCUCAAACAGGAUCCAACAAGUUCGUGUUUGAUGUGCACGAUGACAGGUAGGAAGAUGAGCUUCAGAUCAGUGAAUGAAGGAGGAGAUGCCCAAGGUUCGCCUAUUCCUUCAGAUCUAAAUUCAGAAACCACUGUUUCCUCCAAGCCCACUCUCGACAGGUUCAUUGGGAAGCCUGCCCCAAAGCCUCAGCCGGAGACUCAAAUUCCGGCGAUGUGAGACCGCACCCUUCUUCAAAUUGAUGCCGAAAAAACCCAAAAUUGUCUUUAUCGAGUAGGGAAGCUAACUACAAGUAAGGCAAAUGCUGAAGUGGUGUAUGUUGUCAGGAAGGAGGAAAAGGAACAGAAAAUGCAGCUUUUGCAGAGUUAUUUGAUCAUUUGUGGUAGAGCACAGGAGGAGUUGCUAGUCUCUCGGCCACUUCCAAAGACAACAGUUUCUAGUCUCAACUACUUAAAAAAAACUCUGGUUUAGCUAGCCUAGAACAGCUUGUGUUGUCAUUUUUUUCUUUUCUUUCUCUAAGCUUAUGUAUACUUGAAUUUGUAGAGAAGCAAUAAAAAUUACAUUGAUGG